UACGAAGGGGGCGAGCGUUGUUCGGAAUUACUGGGCGUAAAGGGCGCGUAGGCGGCCGAUCAAGUCGGAGGUGAAAGCCCAGGGCUCAACCCUGGAAUGGCCUUCGAUACUGGUUGGCUCGAGACCGGAAGAGGUCAGUGGAACUGCGAGUGUAGAGGUGAAAUUCGUAGAUAUUCGCAAGAACACCAGUGGCGAAGGCGGCUGACUGGUCCGGUUCUGACGCUGAGGCGCGAAAGCGUGGGGAGCAAACAGG
rnacentral:rRNA from 1 species